GGUCACGUUGCCGGGGGAGCCAUUUUGGGAGUGCACGGCGGUUCUGCGCGGGGCCUAUUUGGCUGUGACGCCUAGCCCAGGUUUCUACCGCCCUAUGCCUUAGGGCGCAUCUAAAACCUAAGAUGGCGGCAUUUGCAUAGGAUGUAAGCGCUGCAGGCAUACUUUAUGUGAAAAGACGGCCAAAGGACGAGUCUCCUAAGGAAUGUCCAGAAACGCGGAUAUUUGUGUUGUGAGCCUCUGCAGGAUCAGCAGGAGCAUCUGAUCCAGGCUCCUUUCACAUUAUUGCUUCUUCUCAGGAUCUCAGAAUAUGUGAGAUUUUGGGUGUGCCCCUUAAGAGCUGAAUCUCUUCUACCCUCUGGUUCUCCUGGAAAAUUUUUAAAAACUUUAAACGGUGCAGUCAAAGCUCCUCUUCAUCACAUGCCACAAGUGUUUUUUGUUUUGUUUUGGCUGCUCUACACAGUCUGUGGAAUUUUGUUCUCCAACCAGAGAUCGAACCCCAUGAUCCCUGCAGUCGAAAUGUGAAAUCUUAACCACUGGACUACCAGCAAGGGAAGCAGCAGGACAUGGAGGCAUUGGAUAAUUUGGAAGAGAUAGCAUCUGGCCAGUUAAUUCAGAAAGAAGAGGAUACUCCAGGGGAGCAGAGGGAGAGACAGUAACAGAGUACCAGCAGCCUUUUCUGUUCUGAUACAGUUUCAAGAGAAGUUUCUACAUACCAAAAUCCCAUGUAGAAUACUACAAAGUUUCUCAACAAAACAUUAGCAAACUGAACCCAACAGCACAUAAAAAAAGAAUCAUACACCAUAACCAAGUAGAAUUCAUCCCAAGUUCAAAAGGAUAGUUCAAUAUAUGCAAAUCAAUCAAGGUAUUUUUAAUUUCCUCUUUAUUACUGACCCAUUCAUGGACCACAGCCUUGUCCAACUCAGUGAAAUUAAGCCAUGCCUUGUGAGGCCAUCCAAGAACAACGGGUCAUGGUGGAGAGUUCUGACAGAAUGUGGUCCACUGGAGAAGAGAAUGGCAAACCACUUCAGUAUUCUUGCCUUGAGAACCCC